rnacentral:rRNA from 1 species
AGGGCACCACCAGGUGUGGAGCCUGCGGCUUAAUUUGACUCAACACGGGGAAACUCACCAGGUCCAGACACAAUAAGGAUUGACAGAUUGAUAGCUCUUUCUUGAUCUUGUGGUUGGUGGUGCAUGGCCGUUCUUAGUUGGUGGAGUGAUUUGUCUGGUUAAUUCCGAUAACGAACGAGACCUUAACCUGCUAAAUAGACCAGCCGGCUUUGGCUAGCUGCUGUCUUCUUAGAGGGACUAUCAGCGUUUAGCUGAUGGAAGUUUGAGGCA